UAGGGAAUCUUCGGCAAUGGGGGCAACCCUGACCGAGCAACGCCGCGUGAGUGAAGAAGGUUUUCGGAUCGUAAAGCUCUGUUGUAAGUCAAGAACGGGUGUGAGAGUGGAAAGUUCACACUGUGACGGUAGCUUACCAGAAAGGGACGGCUAACUACGUGCCAGCAGCCGCGGUAAUACGUAGGUCCCGAGCGUUGUCCGGAUUUAUUGGGCGUAAAGCGAGCGCAGGCGGUUUGAUAAGUCUGAAGUUAAAGGCUGUGGCUCAACCAUAGUUCGCUUUGGAAACUGUCAAACUUGAGUGCAGAAGGGGAGAGUGGAAUUCCAUGUGUAGCGGUGAAAUGCGUAGAUAUAUGGAGGAACACCGGUGGCGAAAGCGGCUCUCUGGUCUGUAACUGACGCUGAGGCUCGAAAGCGUGGGGAGCGAACAGGAUUAGAUACCCUGGUAGUCCACGCCGUAAACGAUGAGUGCUAGGUGUUGGAUCCUUUCCGGGAUUCAGUGCCGCAGCUAACGCAUUAAGCACUCCGCCUGGGGAGUACGACCGCAAGGUUGAAACUCU
rnacentral:rRNA from 1 species